CAAGUACUCCCUCCGUUCCAAAUUACUUGUUCCAGGUAUGGAUGUAUCUAGAUGUAUUUUAGUUCUAGAUACAUCCAUUUCUGCGACGAGUAAUUUGGAACGGAGGGAGUAUAUG
rnacentral:pre_miRNA from 1 species